rnacentral:rRNA from 1 species
CAGUCGCCGCGGGAAUACGAAGGGUGCAAGCGUUAAUCGGAAUUGCUGGGCGUAAAGCGUGCGUAGGCGGUGAGUUAAGUCUGCUGUGAAAUCCCCGGGCUCAACCUGGGAAUGGCAGUGGAUACUGGCUCGCUAGAGUGUGUCGGAGGAUGGUGGAAUUCCCGGUGUAGCGGUGAAAUGCGUAGAGAUCGGGAGGAACAUCAGUGGCGAAGGCGGCCAUCUGGGACAACACUGACGCUGAGGCACGAAAGCGUGGGGAGCAAACAGGAUUAGAUACCCCUGUAGUCCCUGUCUCUUAUAC